UACGUAGGGUGCAAGCGUUGUCCGGAAUUAUUGGGCGUAAAGAGCUCGUAGGCGGUUUGUCGCGUCUGCUGUGAAAACCCCGAGGCUCAACCUCGGGCCUGCAGUGGGUACGGGCAGACUAGAGUGCGGUAGGGGAGAUUGGAAUUCCUGGUGUAGCGGUGGAAUGCGCAGAUAUCAGGAGGAACACCAAUGGCGAAGGCAGAUCUCUGGGCCGUAACUGACGCUGAGGAGCGAAAGCAUGGGGAGCGAACAGG
rnacentral:rRNA from 1 species